UCUAGGUCCUAUGCUUUACUGAUAACCCUGAUGAUGAGCUACUGAUCAAUUUUCUCUCUAGGAUGUGACCUGUCUCAGACAUAACCUCAGGAACAAGAGAGCCUUGAUUUUCCUAGUUGAAAUUGGGAGACUCUCUCCUCUCUCCUGCUUGAAGGACAGAAAGGACUUUGGAUUCCCCCAGGAGAAGGUGGAUGCUCAGAAGAUUCAGAAGGCCCAAGCCAUCCCUGUCCUGCAUGAGCUGGCCCAGCAGAUCCUGAACAUCUUUAGUUCAAAGGACUCAUCUGUGGCUUGGGAGGCAACCCCCCCAGACUCAUUUUGUGAUCACCUCCACCAGCAACUCAAUGACAUGCAAGCUUGUCUGAUGCAGCAGGUGGGGAUGUAGGAACAUCCCUUGACUCUGGAAGACUCCCUGGCAGCCAUGAGGAAAUACUACAGGAUCACUGUGUACCUGAGAAGAAACAUAGCCCCUGUGCCUGGGAGGUGGUCAGAGCAGAAGUCUGGAGAACCCUGUUUUCCUCAGUUAACUUGCUUGCAAGACUGAGUGAGGAGGAGUGA
rnacentral:lncRNA from 1 species